UGUGCCCUAGGGGCAGGGAUGCCGGCCAGCCCCUGGCCAGACCUAGCACUGGAGAGAAUUGUGCCGUUGUGGAGACCCCCUCAGCCACCCACCCACCCACCACAGAGCUUCCCCUGGGCUGGAGGGAGGCGGGCCAGCGUCGAGUGAGGCGACACCAUCUCUACUCACCUAUGCCAGCCGGUUGACUGCUGACUCACCUGGAGCAUAUUCAAGGAGAGCAAGAAAAAUGAGGGACUUUCAGGGGCAGCUGUGUUUUCUGACUCAGUCAUAAUGCCCCUAAAAAUCCUUAUUACUCUUGCAGUGGGCAUCGGGCAGUGGCUGCCGCUCCAUCCCUCUCCCGCUUGACCGCUAUGGGAUAUGAAGGGCUUCCUGGGGUCAGACUGGGAGGUCCUUCCCCAUCCUCCUGAAAUGAGAGUGAAUGGGGACUUGCUUAUUAAAACAAUUUCGUUGGACCAAAGCAUUGCAUAUAUUUUUAUAAUUUUUGGGUGGAGGAUUGGGAAGGCCUGGGCAUCGAGAUAUUCCUGUGUGGAUUGGAGCCCAGGAAAAGACCGGGUCUCCCUGGUUUGUAUGCGGCGAAGAUUCAGAAGCGCUCCACUGCACGUGCAGGGCACAAGGAAGUGUGGCUUUGGGGCCAGUUAUGUCAAGGGCAAGAGUGGGGGGCUGGCCUGGGCGCCCCACCUUUCCUGAGAAGCUGCAACCGUUUAGGGGCACCUGGGUAGGACAUUGCACUGUGUUUUAAAACAAAUAGCCCCAGUCCACUCUCUGAGACCCAGGGAGCUGGCCAUUUAGCAAAUAUGCUUGCAGUGGGUUCAAGGUCGUUACCUCCCCUGGAGCUGACCCUGGAGCUGGCUUUCCCUUGGUUGUUUUCUAUCCCUGUUUCACUUCCUGAGUCUUCUCCAUUCUCAGCAGGUGCCCUCACGCCUAGCUUUUCCAUCUUCACCCCACAGCUAUUUUGGCUAAACCAAAGCCUUAUCUUGGGUGGAUUGGGGGUUCUUGGGGGAUUGCUAAGAAGCAGAAAUGCCAAUUUGUGACAUGCUUUCCUUAAGCCACGAACACCAAUCCAUAAGAAUUCCCCACCAAACCCCACAGUGACAGAAUUUUCCUCUCUAGCCGAGGCGGCCUGCCCGUGGAUGCACAGACGGGACAGUGAACAGGCUGCAAGACCCACCUCGUGUCUCGACCUCACAGAUCAGCAGGGGAAAUUUAUCCUCGAGGUAUUUCUCAGGUUCCCUCCCAGGUGCGGACUCCCAAACUCUCAUCACUCAAGAAGAUGGCCAUACGGGGCACCUUGACCACCACGAUCCUCGCUCCUGGCCAGCCAGGCCCCUUGCUCCUUGGGUUCUGGCCAUCCCAGCUGGACCUCAUCACCAGCUCUCCCAGAGACAGUUUCGAGGGAGCUGGGUUUGCUCCAGAGCCUCAGCGUUUUUCUGCCCAGGGGAAGGGGCAGCUCCAAGGUAAAGAUUCACAAGGGGGUGUUGGGGAGUGAUGUUUAUCCCUCCUUGGUAAGAGGUAGGUGGGGCGCGCGUGAAAUGAGAUUGUCACAACUUACAGUGGAUGCGGGGUGAACCAACACGUUCCAUGAGCCUCAUAAGCAUUUGCUAACUUCAAAUCAACUAUCCCUGAAGCCCCUUUGCCCUGCCUUUCCAUGUACCCUCACACUCCCUUGUUACCGAUCAUAUUCCUCAGUCUUUACCCUAAAACAUUUUCAAAACAUGAUAUAUCCAUUUUUUUUAAAGGCAAUAAACACAUCAAAAGUAAAACAGAAUACUGUUUCUCCCCCAGUUAGAAAAGAACAGCCUUCCGCGGUAGCAUUUUGAAAAUACAAAAGGAUGAAAAAGGCUCACAAAUGCCCAUAACUGCAGAUAAUGUCUGCUAAUGAAAUAUAUCCUUCCAGCAUUUUGGUUUCCCUGCGCAUGUACACCCCCACUCAGCAAGGUCCGGGCUUUUAAAACGGGCGAGGCUCAUAACCCAUUUGAACGAUGGCUCUGUGCCCUCGGGAGCCAGAAAGUCUCUCUUUUCUUUUUGCCAAGUGGGAUGUACCAUGGGCUGCCGCUCGCCUCCAGCCAGGAAGCUCAGAGACCUUGUUGGAGGGUGUUGGAGCAGCGCUGGGUCUCUCUCCAAAGAGAUGGAUGGAGUUGUUGGGGAGGGUGCUAGAAAGUGGGCUGCUGCAUUGCUUGUCAAGCCUGGUCACAGAAACAUCACUUGGAGAGUGUGAAAACAAAUUUAAACGCCGGGGCCCCACCCCAGACCAAUUGGAUCUUAAUUGUUGGGGGUUGGGGGGGGCCCAGGGAUGGGCAUCUGUUUUUGUUGUUCUUAUCCUCAGGUGAUUCUGUUAAUCAGCCAGAGGACUAUCUGCUACAUGCCCACAAGUUAGAGAUGGAAGCGAUUUCCUCCAGCGCUGUCUUCAGAGCCUAUCAGGCGGUGUGACCAUUUGCAUUUGGCAGAUUUUCACUUCCUUUAGUUUCUCUGCUGCUCGGAGUCAUCUUUUGAUCCUCAUUUUACAGGCGGAGGACGAGAGCCAAGGAGAUCAGGAGACUUAGCAGAGGACACCCAGGAUGUGGCAGAGCUGGGGCUUAGAUCUGUAGCUUCAGGUCCCAGGAGGACACGUCAACAGAAAACUCUGGUGUAGAGAAGAUUCUCAUGUAAUGCUCGUUGCACUGCACUGCUCAGGAGGCAGAGCCUGUGAUGGCCCAGAAAAGCAGCCUUGGACCUCAAAUAAGUGUAGGGCCUGUCCCUGAUGAUCUGGCCACUGCGGAAGUAUCUGAAGGGGACCACCCCUCCUUCACCUUGUACCCUUGGGGUUUAGGUGGGGCCACCCCCCGCCCCCACCCUCUGGCUUUAGAGGCAGACAUGUUUCCCUGGCUGGACACAGACUCCCUCGUGGGACUUUUGCAGCAACUAUGAGGAAAAAGACAUUCGCUUUUUGUGGGGGGUUGACAGGACAUAAACUUGGAACUACUGAUGGCCAUCCUGUUCUCUACUCAAGGAAACAAGAAGGAAGGAGCUAAGAGAAAGUGGACAUGUGCUGUCCAGACAUCAGUAAACCCCUGGAUGCAGCCAAGCCUGAAGCCAACUGCACCCCUGGACUAACAUGCUUAUAUGAGCAAAUGCAGUUCUUUUUUUUCUAAGACUAUCCUGAGUUGGGUUUCUUUCAUAGAAAGCGUCCUAAAAGGGCAAUGUUUUUCUAUGAUCUCACUUAUAAAAAAAUCAACUUUGAGUUAUACUUACAUGCAAUAAAAUCCACCCAUGUUAAGUGUUCAGUUCGUAAGUUUUGUACACCCUUGUAGCUACCAACAUCAUCGAGAACAUUUCAAGUUCUCUCUUUACCCUUUAUGGCCCAUUUCCCCACCCCCAGACAAUCACUGACUUGCCUUGUUCUAGAGAUUCAUUUUGCCUGUUCUAGAAUUCUAUAUAAAUAUUAUCACAUGGUAUGUGCUCUUUUGUGUCUGGCUUCUUUUACUCAGCAUGGUUUUGAGAUUCAUCCAUGUUCCUUUUUAUUGCCAAGUAGUAGUCUGUUGUAUGGCUGUACCAUGGUUUGUUUAUCCACCUAUCAGGACAUUUGAACUGUUUCCAGAUUUGGGCUAUUACAAAUAAAGCUGCCUUGAACAUUCA